AUUUAAAUAGCUUAUUAUUAGAGCAUAAUAUUGAAAAUAUUAAGGUAAUAUAUAUAUUAUUUUUAAAUA
rnacentral:tRNA from 1 species